UACAGAGGUCCCGAGCGUUGUUCGGAUUCACUGGGCGUAAAGGGUGCGUAGGUGGCAUGGUAAGUUUGAUGUGAAAGCUCAGGGCUCAACCCUGAAAUGGCAUUGAAUACUACUGUGCUGGAGGUUUGGAGGGGGGACUGGAAUUCUUGGUGUAGCAGUGAAAUGCGUAGAUAUCGGGAGGAACACCAGUGGCGAAGGCGGCGAUCUGGGAAGAUACUGACGCUGAGGUGCGAAAGCGUGGGGAGCAAACAGG
rnacentral:rRNA from 1 species